rnacentral:rRNA from 1 species
CAGUAGCCGCGGUAAUACAGAGGGUGCGAGCGUUAAUCGGAUUUACUGGGCGUAAAGCGUGCGUAGGCGGCUUCUUAAGUCGGAUGUGAAAUCCCCGGGCUCAACCUGGGAACUGCAUUUGUGACUGUAUAGCUAGAGUACGGCAGAGGGGGAUGGAAUUCCGCGUGUAGCAGUGAAAUGCGUAGAUAUGCGGAGGAACACCGAUGGCGAAGGCGACUACCUGGACUGAUACUGACACUGAGGUGCGAAAGCGUGGGGAGCAAACAGGAUUAGAUACCCGCGUAGUCCCUGUCUCUUAUAC